rnacentral:tRNA from 1 species
GCUGCUGUUGCUCAGUGGUAGAGCACUCCCUUGGUAAGGGAGAGGUCGACAGUUCAAUCCUGUCCAGCAGCACCA